UUUGCUUUGGUUUUAAUCACAUUCACUAUUUUUCCUUUGAAAUGGGGGGGGAAUAUCUUUUAGAAAUUUAUUUAUUUCUUACUUUUGGAUCGAAUUUUGUAUUUCAGAUUCCUGUAAAUAGUUUUCCGGAGUUUGAAAUGGUAAGCACAUGUCCUGUGAACAGAGCCAAGCCGUGAUAAGGAAUUCGUCUGUCUCUCUCUCCAAGUUCCAUUUUGUUUCUAUGGCUUUUAUGACUGAAAAUGCACAUUUCUCAUGGGCACUCACAGAACUGAAACAGCAUGAUUUGCAAGCUCGCUAAAUGGAUUUCUUCCAAGCAAGUCAUUGGGGCUAAGCAAGCCCAACUUUCUCAGCCUGUGCUCAUACGGCAGGUUCUCCAGCCCUCUGAUCAUCUUCGUGGCUUCCUCUGGCCUCGCUCCAGCAGCUCCAAAUCCUCCCUGUGCUGAGGACUCCAGAACUGAACACAGGACUCCAGGGCUCUACUAGACAUCUCUUGACCACAACACGAUGUUUGUCAAACCGCUGUACAGAAAACAUCUUCCCUGCUUCUCGUCACCUCUGGACAACUGGCAUGGCAAAGAGCCUUGCUCUGCUCCCGCAGCCCUGUGGGUAAUGAUGGACGUGCUCCUGAUUUACACUACUGGAGAUUUACAGAUGCCUGGGUUGAUAGAAAAUGUGUUCGUCCAGGACAAAGCCUUCAUUAAAGAAGAUUAAAAAGUGAUAUUGCCUCUUAAGCCCACAUUGAUAAGAGGCUCAAUGCUUAAAAAAAUGCCAAAGCAAUGAAACCAACAAAGAUCUGUGUACCACUGCAAAGCCAGUUUGCACCUGGAUUCAAGGACAGCCUUUCAUAUGCAGCAGGGUUUAACUUUAGGCUCUGUCCUGGUUUUGGCUGGUGUGGAAUCAGUUUAGCUGCUGACCAAAAGGGACUAAACAAGCACAGGCUCAGAGACUGACAAGAAGUCCCUCUGAAGCCCUGCCUGUUCCGAUUCAGAGCCUGCUGUUUACGCAUUGUGGGCUCUGUGACUGUACACCUGACCUUCCAAGUUUUAUGGGACUCACUGAUGCAAAGCCUGGAGCCAGUGACACCUCCCUCUCUCCAGGCACGUGCCUUAAGCAACACAAGAGUGACCUGUUGUUGUUACAUGCUCUCAAUGAGACUCACUCCUGUUAACCCUCUGAGUAUGGAAAACCAGCAGGGAGACAACGUGUGGAGAUGAAGCUGAAAAAUCUAGGCUAAGUUCUUAAAUGCAAAAUUAGGUUCUUAGAUCCACAGAACAGGAGGAAGAGAUAGUGAGAGCCGGCUGAUGCACUGACGACCACCAAGCAAAUGAAUACUACCACAAGGUCCUUUGAACCUUCUUCCUUUAUAUGUGACAUCUAGUUUAAAGGGAGAGCCCAAAUGAUAGGUGACAGUAAGGUAGGCACAAUGAUUCAGCCAGCAAGGAAAGCUUGAAAUGUGUAAGCCUGGCUCGGCGAAAACAUUCGGGCUGUGCUGCUGUCAUUAGUACUAUUCCUUCAUCACUGACCAUACAUUAACUGGCAAGGUUAGUCCUGCGUGGGGAAGAGUCCACACAGGCUGAAAGAGUGCUACACUAACGCAUAACAAGAGAGCUGUUGCUGUACUUAAUUACAAUAGCAAAAUUACCGUGGUUUUGCGGUGUCCCCAAAGCAUUGCCGCUCUUGCCCUGCUGCCCUUUGCCUCCCUUCUCCCUACCCCUGCGUGGAUGUUCCUUCACUGCAGCACAAGGGAGAAGGAAGACUGGAGGAUGAGACCCACUCUGCCUUUCCUCCUCUUGGCAGAGAGCUGGGUGUGUGGGGCUGAGAUGGGAACGCAGACGUCUUUUCUGGGGGAGCAGAGGGUCUUAGCAGUGUGGAGGAGCCAAGGGAGGGCUCAGCACAGGAGUGGGCCUCUGCGCAGCUGCCAUGGGUAGGCCUCUGAAGGCUACAUCAGGGGUAUUGAUGAUGGUAGGAGGAAGAUAUCUCUGUGCAGACAAGCACAGGUGUGGUAAGACUCCUCCUUUCCCCUAAGCAAGGAUGUGUGCUGAAGCCAGUGGUAGGACUGGGUCUGGCCUUUGCAUGGACUUGCUUUACUGAACUGGCUGCAAUUGGAUCCUACAUUAAUGCAGGACCUGAAGACCAUGAGCCCAUGCUCAGUGCGGUGUUGUCCCUUGAAUGGUCUUUAUCAAUCCUGACACAUCCAUGCCUAACCUUUUGUCAACGACAUCUUAUGAUGAAUCUUAUGAUCUUCUUCUCCUCAGGCUGUUCGAUUCCCUUCUCCUGCGAAUUUCUACCAGGCUGUGUAAACCUCAAGCUGUGAUUUAAACCCAUCGUUCCUAUUCUUCCACUCCUAGUGGCUCAUUUUUCACAGUUUAAUGAAUAUUCUUCUGCGAAGGCCAUGCUAGUGCAGGCUGUUCACAGCCUGAUGUGCUGAGAUGAACACUGGCAGCGUGGGUGCAAGGAGGCAUUAAACUGAGCAGAUGUCCGUGUCACAAAAGCUCAGGCAUAUUUUAAAAGUAAAUAUGAAACCCAGGCCAGGAGGAAAAAAGGAGUCACAGUACAAGAACAUCAGACACGAUUCUGUAAGGAUGAAUCAAAAGUAAUUGCAGCAGAACUCAACAGACAUCAUCUGCCUUGUGAGGAGGGAGAAAGAAAAAAAUAAGUGAGAAAGCGUCACUUGGAGCGGUCCAGCUCUGACUUCAUCUGAACAGUGUCCAUGAGCCUGGAGUGGGAAUGCAGCCCCCGUCAGUUAGCGUUAUGACAUGAUGUAUUAGGUGAUUUGCUAAAAUGCUGGUAAAGUUUCUUUAGAGUGAACAAUGAGCAGGGCAGCUUGAAGCUCUGCUUCUUGUCAGCUGUGAACAUGCUGGGUGACACUGGUUUGCUUAACUCCAUAUUCCCGCUCCCCAUGAUGUCCUUAUCAGACCCUCUCUUAUCCUUAAAACAGAGGUAAAAAUGGAGCUGAUCUUGCCUGGCUUUCCACCCUUUCCAUCCCGUUGUCUCUCGCAUCUUCCCUAAUCAAGGGGCUAGAAGCAAGCUUUGCGUCUUCUUUGCCAGUUUGAUACCUGACGCAGACAGCAGGCGUUGCUGGGGCAGUGCUGAGAUACCUCGCGGGGCUCAGGGCUCACCAGCCCUCCGGAGAUUCUACACUACUCUGACUCCUUUGCUAAGCAGAAGUGGGUCUUUCAUGGCCUUGGGGAGCACCGCUCCGUGAGGCAGCAAAGGGUAAUUCAAAAUCAGUUCUCUUCCUGACUCAACAGAUGGGCUGCUGCCUGCAAAAAGGAAAUGAACGUCUAUGCAUGACAGGAAUGUCUGGAGAAGCUCUAAUGUCACUUCCCCACAAGCAGCUGUCUUCUGCCUCCUCUUCGAUGGCCUCCUGGGCGACUUCUUGUUUUGCAAACAGUCCAUCCUUCCUUCCACAUUCCCUGUGGAUGGAGCUUUUUGCUGGAGGGUUUCCUGCUCCUGUCUCUUCACUCCUGUGCAGCUCUGCCUUCUCAGUUGUGCCGACGCAACCGCUCGUGCUUAAAAGGAUAUCGCCGAAAUAUCUGAGUGAACAGAUAGGAAAGAAGAGAUUAUUUUUCAUUACU